GCCCAACCAAAUAAAAUAAGAAACAAAAAAUUGGAAAUUGGACAACUACUAUAUAACAAAUUCCAAUCGGAAAAAGCAGUUCCUCUGGCCUCUGCGAUUCAUUUUCUGCGUAAAAAGGGAAAUAAAGGUGCAGAAUCGGGGACUGGGGAAUCAGUGUUUUCUGUAACUGAAAGCGGAGGGGUGUGGCUGUGGAUCUGCUUGAAAUCCGUUUGCUCUUUUCACUGCUUUUGCCGUCCGAUAGCGAUUUCUCCUUCCAAACCAUAAUUUUCAUCUUCAGUAUUUUCAGGUCCCUGGUUGAAGCAUCAUGGCUUCCAAGCGUAUUUUGAAGGAA
rnacentral:misc_RNA from 1 species